CAAAAUGUAGCUUAAACAAAGCAUCUGGUUUACACCCAGAAGAUUUCAUUAUAAAUGACCAUUUUGA
rnacentral:tRNA from 1 species